AAACAUCUUAUGAAUGAUAUAGGAAUAGAUAAUCCUGCCUGGGGCAGUGGUGUAAACCAGAUGACUUGGUGAGCUUUUUCUUUCCCUAUUUUUUUGUGACUCUGUAUUGAGGCAGCCCUCACUUACGCAUGUUUGGAUCAGACCAAACAUGACUCUUUCUCGUAAGCUGUACAUAGUGUCUGUCUUUCCUGCUUCCUCUGCCCUUUCUGUUGCAUACACAUUUAAUAUUGGCUAGUGCAGCUGUUUUUUCCGAUUGGUACUUGUCAUCUGCGCUGUUGUCACUCCACUCAUUUCUCUGAAGAAUCUUUUUUUUUUGCAUCCAGACCAAGGAGCAAAUUAGGUUGUGGAUAGGAAGUCAAGCAAUUUCACUUGUGUGUGAGCCAAAGAACUCCACAAGUGAAAGGUGCCUGUCCUCUGGUGUAACAGCUGAGGGAUUAGGGGCAUUAUCCAACAAACCAGAACUCAGUGUGCUACUUCUUAAUCUAAGGUGCUUAAAUUCACAUUACCAAGAAGUAUACUUUCUAGUCAGGGAGCAGGGAAGGAGUAGACUUGCUUCUCAACUCUUCUGAAACCAGGUUGCACUUUAGAGAGGGCGUGCCUAUAGCAGGAAAGGGAACUGGUACAAGGAGAAAUCUGCUGCCUUGUGAGGGAAGAAUUUCAAGGGAGGAGGAGGGGUACCUGCUUGCAGCUCGACAUUGAAGUACUCUCCAGGGAACGCACAGCUGAACCCUUUCAGAUCACAGACAGCCUGCAGUUUUGGUUUUCCACAACCUAAAGGACUAUGAGAACCAUUAACCUGUUUUCUGCAAACAACAUUUUAAAAGAAAAAAUGAAUCGCCAUGUACGGACCAUAGGCUCUUCAGUGUAGAAAGCUGUUCCGAGCUUGCAGUGAUCUGGGUCUCAAGACUUCCCAGGCUGAGAACUCUAAAUCACAUAGGAUUAUCUCAGGGACAUUUUUCUUUUGCAUUUCCUGCUUCCUAGCUUAGUGCCAUACACAUGCCCCCCUUUACUUGUUUUGUUGGCUGGCUGCCAGGGGUUUAAUUGCAGCUCCCUCUCUGGAUUGACCGGGUAGGUGAACUUUGGGGAGUGCCUUAAGACCAUGUAGGUAGCAAUUACGAUUUGCAAGAUCUACUGUGCUGAAGUCCCUGUCAGUUUGCUCCCAAAUCAUCACAUGCAGGGCUCUUUGCAAUUCUAUCAGGCUAGUUUGCUUUUCCCCUAAGCUUUCCGGGUCUCUCUGUGCUGUAAAUUCUUCCUUUUCCUCUUCUAUCAUGCUGUACUCCUUGCUUUCAACAGCUUCCCACUUCCUUAUUAGCUAUUAUUCCAGCUUCUUAAGCCCUCUUUUUCCUGUUAGUGACUGUUUUAUAUAUAUAUUCCCUGUGGAAUGUGCUGGGAACACACAUUUUUCAAACUGAGAUAAAUUUAUCAACACCCUUACAGCGUUUACGCACCCUGUGUCUUACCCACACACCCCACAUGUGGAGGACAAUGCCUCUGUUGCUCUUCCAGGGUUUGGGACAAGGCAGGCCUACAAACCCUUGUGAGUGGGUUCCCUCAGGCCUGAGAUGUGUGCUUGCUAUUUGCCUGCUUGGUUUUCCCUUGUGCCUUGGCAUGGUGUCAGCAGCCCAGGCAGCUCUUGGGAAGCUGUGUAGGUGUGUUGGUUUCUGUGAUUGUCAGGCUCUGUUUGAAUGCAGUCGGGCAAACUGAUACAACUACCUGACCACAGCUGGUCUCCCCAGACAUAUGAGUUGGCCUAUGAGCCUGACCUGCUGCUCAUCAAUUAUGAGUGAAAAUCCCACUAGCUGUUUUGGGCUAUUGGGUGGUGCUUUGAACAGUAACUACAAAGGACUUCCUGAAUCCUACUUCCUGGUCUUUCUCCAGCUUGUCCUACACCAUUAGUACAGGAUCCCUUAGCACUUCUGUCCUACAUCAGCCUCCUGCCCUUCCUUCAGCACUAGCCUAGCCUAACCUUAACACAGUCAGAUCCUGUACAGGCACCCAACUACCGAUGGUAUCAUUAAGCUCUCCUGAUCUUCACAACAGAAUCCAUCAUUCUGAAGAGUGAAUUUGCACCAAAAUAUAUUCUGGAAAAUGUGCUGCUUCUCUGCCAGCAAUGUAGAGGCAGAGCCCACUGAGAGCUGUGACUGUCUUCAUCCUUGAAGCACUCAGUACUGACAUCAGUGGCAUGACCUAAGAUAAAGUUGGCAUGAAAAAUGUUUGUCUCUUUAAAUUCUUUGGGUUUUUCAUUACAGCUGCAGCAUGUAGUAUUAGCACAGCCCCUUCUGCCUCUCCUGGAGAGGGAGUGGGGCAUCUGCCAGUACCUCUAAAGAACUGCCAUGUCAGCUGCCUGUGAGGCCUAUGGAGCCCAAUUGAAGGAUUGCUGGGCUGUGUGCAAGCUCUUCAGUGCUCCCUAUGAAGAUCUCCUGGUGUUAAGACUGGAAAAGUGACUGCAGUAUCUCCACAAGAUAAUGCAAGCCUUGAAGCCAAGGUCAGUCUCGUCCUGGAGCAUUACUGGAAAGCUGCACUUAAAAGAUAGGUCUUGGAGAUGCAGGUCUCAUUCCUUUAGCCUCAGUUCUCAUGAAUGAAAUGUCUAUUCAACCUACCACUAAAAAUUUGAUAUUUUGCAGGAUGAGGAUUAAAAAAAAAAAAACAACAACUUUAAGUCUCUUUCCAUUUUUUUUUUAUUUAAAUUCAUUCAAAACAGCAUUUUCAAAAUGUUCUGAGUUUUCAGGGCAAAAUGUUCUGUUUUCCCUAAGAAAAUCAUCAUAUUUAUGAAGGAUCUCACUCACUCAUAACUUGCUAUUAAAAUCCUUCUUUUGAAUGCUUUUCCCUCUAUACCACUGGACAUGCAAACUAGAUGAGGUCAAACUUUUAAGUUUGCUUCGAUUCUGGUAUCUGGACUUUUGUGGAUGUUUGCCUGAAUCAAGCUGUAAGUAAUUCCUGAAAAGCAUCUGACUUUGUGAAGCAUAAUGUGCCUUCAUCUGCUUCUUGACCCACAGUCUGCCAGAAUAUAGCUUCUCUCUCAGUUUUCGUUGGAUGUCUUCCAGCCUUGCUGUAUUUUCCAUUUCACCUCCUUUAUGAAGUGUAACUAAGUACCUCUUGAGGACUACUCUAACAUGGUUGGUUUGUUUGAGUUGAUAAUUUCUGGAGUUAUACAGCUGGGCCCAUGUUUUUAAGUUUCCCAUUACUUUUUUUUUUUUGCCUUGGAAUGGUUCAAGGAAAUGCACACAAACUCAAAUCUGCAUGGAAGGCUUAACGAGAGAUGUUGACCUGUGUGUUUCUAGCCUGUUUCUACAAGAUUUGAAUUCUGUAUGGAACUUCCCUUACAUAUUCAAAGAUGAAAAUAAUGAACAGCUACUUUUUCAGCUAGAAAACAAUGCAUCUGAGCAGUUGUAGAACAUUGCAUUGACAAACUUUCCUCUUUUUGCUUGCCACAUUCUCUUUUUAUGAUGGAAUGAUCUUGAUCCCAAAAGUUAGCCCCUUCUGGCUUUUCAAGGUAUGUUACAAAUCAUCCUUCGAUGAUUUAAUGCAGCCCUUAUGAUUUUUGCUAACUCCACAAAAUGGACGUGGUUUGGUCCCUAAAACCAAAUGUCCAUAAAUUUAUCCGGGUUAAAGAGCAAGGCAGGCUACAAGGAGAAGAGAAAACCCAAGAGUACAGGCAGGUGACUGUGGGAAGUAGGGCUCUGCUGCCUCAAAGUGGGCUAGGUGCUUCAGGCAUGUCUAGCUUUGGUACUGGGCUCUUGUGGUUGCCUGACUUUACUCACAUGCUGAUGUCAGUAGAAUUAUAGGAGAUGUUAAAUGGGAUGAGUGUUUGCUGUAUUGCAGCUUUGGUCUAUACCCACUGCUGGGGAGCACAUGAAUAAUAUGGCUGUGGGCAGCUGGAGUCACUGCUCUGAGUCAUGCCACUUGGUAGACUUGAGUUAGCAUCUUACUAGAAGACACUUUAGCUGAAAAUAAAGUCAAGCACAGGAAUCUAGUGUCUCAUCUCUUCCAUGUGCUAGGACCACCUGCCUGUAACUAAACCUGUCUGUUCUACACAGCUGCAGUUUCUAAUCACAUUUCCCUGGGGCACCUGGUGCUAAUGCCCUGGUGCACAGCUGCCUCCUGGCUUCAGCAAGAUCUCAGCACUGCUACCAGGGAGCUUGGAGCCUUCUGUCAUCAGUGAAUAAGUCCAGUUUCCUUAUUGGCAUUGAGGGUGGGAGUUUUAAGUAAUUGCUCAAUGUAUUCUUAAUUGAUCAAGUUCGUGGUAUACUAUAAAAAUUUCCUGACUUGUUAUGGUUUUCAGCCUGCAAAUGAUUCUUAGAGAGCUUGCCGGUUUCUGUUAGAGUUUCUGGAGAAAGAUCCUGUCUAUUUAAAGUCAGCAUUAGGUACUUGUUGGCUUCAGUAGUGAAUCAAGAAAACUCCAUGUGAAGUGUGGAGAGGUUAUCUGUAUGACCUGGGAACAUGCACUGGGAGUAGAAAGCAGUAAAUGCUUAUGUGACCUUUAUUACAAAAGCAAAUUCUUAUAUACUCUUUUCCUUUUUCUGAGUUGUUGCAGAUUGUGGGCAUGCGCUGAUAUAAAAUGUUGUUGGUGAUGUCAUUCUGUGAUUGCUGAGAGUAUAACUAGCAAGGCUGGUGGUAAGGAAGCUGAGGAACAAGUGCUACAGACUGGCUAAUAUUCCACCUUUGAGGUGAAGUUUUGGGUGUAACAAAAUGUGAGAAACCUGGCUAAAGGGUCUGUGAUAUCUGUAGUGAUGAUCUCCCUUUUGCACUACUUUUUUUUUUUUUUUUAACUGGGGCGCAUAGCACCCUAGAAUGCAACCUCCAAGUAGCAAGUUUCCAGGUGAUCUCUUCUGCAAAAGCAGAACUUUGAAUCUUGAGUACAAAUAGCAUCAAAAUGAGUAUAGUCAAUAAGAACUUCAGAAGAUAUUUCCUCAUUAUGGUUUCAUGCAGCGUCUGAUGCAGAGACUCAGAUGUGAACAAUCCAAGUUGUUUAUUACAAGUUCUCACAUUACUUAUAUACCUUCACAAGUUUUCUUUUUCUAGCUUUCCCAUCCAACCCUACAACUUUCCCAUCCACCUUUACAUGUCAACAAAGCAUUCUACAAACACUCUUCAACUGUUCAUGCCAGCACUUAUUCAAUCAGAGCCAUGAGCCACUCUUUCUUCUUCUAGAGAUGUCCUUGUUUCUCAUGCUGUUUAUCUUGCUACACAGCUGCUGCUCUGAACAGUUUUUCUUGUAUUCCCACAGUUUCAUAAUGGCCUAAAGCCAAAAAAAGACCCGUAGCUUUGCUUAUAGCAGUCUGGAAAGGAUGCAACCACUGGAGGGACCCACUGAGGUGUGAGCCCUGAGAUGGUUUGUAAUGUAUUUAUCAGACUCUCCUUUCCUUCCUUAACCUCUGAGCUUCGAAAGCACAGACUGCAAGUCCUGCUGAGACAUAGCAGCCUUGCUUGAUAACAGAAGAGAGCACCAGGGAUGUUAAAAACCACUCUCUCUAUUGUCACCACCUUGUUUUCCAAAGGUGUAUGAUGAUGGUCAAGGGGCAGGUGUUGAAAACAGCAUAAGGAAUUUUUCUAAGGAGAAGCUAAGCAUGAGAAUAAGGGGGAUGUGUCUGAAGAUCAGUUUUGCUUGGCAUAUGUAACACUGUGUUCUUAGGAUGGAAGUUGGAAAUGAUUUUCUGGCUAUUUAAAUAUGUGAGGAAAUACAAUGUUAUUUUCUGACCUAUGCUUUAGGUAGAAAGUGUUGUGGGUUUUGUUUUUGUGGGCAAAUUCAGACUUUAUUUUGUGUCAGCAAAUACAGUGUUAAAGUAAAUAACAUUGCUUUUACGUUAAGCUAGAAAAAAUAUUUACAUUUUUCCCUAUUUUUUUUCCACCCAGCCUUGCUCUCCCCUUCGUAUUUGUGGGUAUGGUCAUCUUCCAUUUCUGCAUAUCAGUUCUGCCCCACUGCACUGGGGCAGUGGACUUCCAGAAAUUGGCUUGGAAUCAUGAGUGUCUGUAUGCAAUGUGUAGAAAUUACUUUCGUUUUUCUUCUUAAGCAAAAGGUUUUUUAAUGC
rnacentral:lncRNA from 1 species